CCUACGGGUGGCAGCAGUGGGGAAUAUUGGACAAUGGGGGGAACCCUGAUCCAGCCAUGCCGCGUGUGUGAAGAAGGCCCUCGGGUUGUAAAGCACUUUCAGUGAGGAAGAACGCCUGGUGGUUAAUACCCAUCAGGAAGGACAUCACUCACAGAAGAAGCACCGGCUAACUCCGUGCCAGCAGCCGCGGUAAUACGGAGGGUGCGAGCGUUAAUCGGAAUUACUGGGCGUAAAGCGCGCGUAGGUGGCUUGAUAAGCCGGUUGUGAAAGCCCCGGGCUCAACCUGGGAACGGCAUCCGGAACUGUCAAGCUAGAGUGCAGGAGAGGAAGGUAGAAUUCCCGGUGUAGCGGUGAAAUGCGUAGAGAUCGGGAGGAAUACCAGUGGCGAAGGCGGCCUUCUGGACUGACACUGACACUGAGGUGCGAAAGCGUGGGUAGCAAACAGGAUUAGAUACCCUAGUAGUC
rnacentral:rRNA from 1 species